AGGACGAACGCUGGCGGCGUGCUUAACACAUGCAAGUCGAGCGGAAAGGCCCUUCGGGGUACUCGAGCGGCGAACGGGUGAGUAACACGUGAGUAACCUGCCCUAGGCUUUGGGAUAACCCUCGGAAACGGGGGGCUAAUACUGGAUAUUCCCGCGGGAUCGCAUGGUUUUGUGGGGAAAGGUUUUCCGGCUUGGGAUGGGCUCGCGGCCUAUCAGCUUGUUGGUGGGGUGAUGGCCUACCAAGGCGACGACGGGUAG
rnacentral:rRNA from 1 species